UACGUAGGGAGCAAGCGUUGUCCGGAAUCAUUGGGCGUAAAGCGCGCGUAGGCGGCCCUGUAAGUCCGUUGUGAAAGUCAAAGGCUCAACCUUUGAAAGCCGAUGGAUACUGCAGGGCUAGAGUCCGGAAGAGGCGAAGUGGAAUUCCUGGUGUAGCGGUGGAAUGCGCAGAUAUCAGGAGGAACACCAAUAGCGAAGGCGGAUCUCUGGGCCUGUUCUGACGCUGAGGCGCGAAAGCUAGGGGAGCGAACAGG
rnacentral:rRNA from 1 species